GCCGAUGUAGCUCAGCUGGUAGAGCAGUCGCUUCGUAAGCGAGAGGUCGCCGGUUCGAUCCCGGCCAUCGGCU
rnacentral:tRNA from 1 species